AUGACUUGGAGGAAUGAAUGAAUGAUGAGUGAAUGAGCUCUUUGAUCUUCUCUUGGUGCCGGGCAGGGCAGAGAGUGUAAUCCCCAUUUUACCGAGGCUGGGAGGGAGAAGUGCCUCUCCCAUGAUCACACACAUUUCAGGCUGGCCCACCUGUCCAGCUGGCGGGUUCAUGCGGGGCUGGUCAGCCACAGUGCCGUCAGGCCCCAUCAAGGGGCUGUGGUGGAGAGGAUUAUCCCACACCCCCUCUACAGUGCCCAGAAUCAUGACUACGAUGUCGCCCUCCUGAGGCUCCAGACCCCUCUCAACUUCUCAGACACUGUGGGCGCUGUGUGCCUGCCGGCCAAGGAGCAGCAUUUUCCGAAGGGCUCGCGGUGCUGGGUGUCUGGCUGGGGCCACACCCACCCUAGCCAUACUUACAGCUCGGAUAUGCUCCAGGACACGGUGGUGCCCCUGCUCAGCACUCAGCUCUGCAACAGCUCUUGCGUGUACAGCGGAGCCCUCACCCCCCGCAUGCUUUGUGCUGGCUACCUGGACGGAAGGGCUGAUGCAUGCCAGG
rnacentral:sRNA from 1 species